UGUGGGGUUCUCUAUGUCUAAAAGUAUGCUCAUGGUCACUGCUCUUGUCUCCGAAUCGUUAGGCUAGACUUGGAACCUCAAGUCCACUACGGUGAAACAUAGCAACUAAUUAAGGGUUUUGAUUGAUGAUCAAGAAACAUGAAUGAAUAUUAGUCAAAAACAAAACAUGAAUGAAAGUUGGAAGAGUUGAUCAUUUUUUUUUUUUUAACUUAAAGAGUUGAUCAUUUUUCCCGCAGCAAAAAAGAAUGAUACAUGAU
rnacentral:lncRNA from 1 species